rnacentral:rRNA from 1 species
AAUCUACCUUUUACAGGGGAAUAGCCCAGAGAAAUUUGGAUUAAUGCCCCAUGGUGUUAUAGAGUGGCAUCACUUUAUAACUAAAGUCACAACGGUAAAAGAUGAGCAUGCGUCCUAUUAGCUUGUUGGUAAGGUAACGGCUUACCAAGGCUACGAUAGGUAGGGGUCCUGAGAGGGAGAUCCCCCACACUGGUACUGAGACACGGACCAGACUCCUACGGGAGGCAGCAGUGAGGAACAUUGGACAAUGGGCGCAAGCCUGAUCCAGCCAUGCCGCGUGCAU